ensembl:lncRNA
AUGAGCGUAACAGGGAGGGGAAUCUCUCUCCACAUCGCAAACAGCUUUCUAGACAGCAUCGCUGUGCAACAACAGUUCAUUUUGGUGGCUGCUCAUCUGGAUUUCACACACACACACACACACACACACACACACACACACACACACACACACACACACACACACACACACACACACACACACACACACACACACACACACAACCAGGAGUGGAGCAAAUACUACAAUGAGCACCUCAUCGCCUAUGAGGACUCUCCAGAUCCCUCCCCUUUUAGAUGCCAAAAGUUAAAUCUAUAUUUAAUGGGCUUUGAGAUUCAGAAAUCUAAAAAAAUUCUCCACUGGCUCAACUUUGCAUUGUUUUUUUUUUUUUUUAAUUCUCCUUUUCUUUUUCUUCAGCUCCUUUCCCUUUGCUCUCACACGGAAGAGCAUCAUCUUUGUACAUAUAGCACUGGGUGUGAUGAGGAAUUCAAGUAAUACAAGCAUCUGCUCAGGGCUUUUGUGUUCAAAAGAUUCAAUUAAAAAAUAAUUACCAAAAGAUUAGUAGUAGUCGAACAUGACUGUACUGUUUGAAUUGAUGUUUCUUUUCAUCUGGUUUAAUAAUAGAAUGCUUUCUUAAUUAAGAAAAAAGGGCCGCUGCAGUGCACCCUGACUGAAUAAAAGUUUGUUUGAUGUGUUGAAAAAUUAAAUAUUUUUUUGAUCUAACAAAUUAAUUUCCCCCCCUUUUCCCUUUUUCACUGGCAGGAGAUAAAAACAAUUUAAUUUAGAUACCAAUGGCUAGAACAAACCAUUCCCUGAGCUUCGGUCAACGAACGAGCUAUAAAACCAAGCCCAGAACAAUUAAUUGCUAUGGUGUUCAUCUACAGCGCGGGGUUAGCUACGCACAGACGUGAUAGAGCAUAUACGACUGGUAAUGAUAUCGGGAGAGAGAAUCCGGUGGAAUUUUCUCCUUAAAUUACCUUCUCAGUGGUGUCCCACAUCGUGCGGCUAAUGCACAGCUUACAAAUCCCACGCGUGUAUGCAAACACAGCAGGAAUCUCCCGUGUCGCCGUAAUUAUCCCGCCAUUUUAAUCUCUGAUGGCCUUAUGUGAGAUUACACACGCUGGAGCAUGUAUCAAUGCUCUGACUCGGGCUCUGCUACACCACACAGAGCAAAACUGUGCAUAUUCAUGAAGCCGGGCUAUAGUGAUGUCUGAUUCAUGAACAAAUCGUACUUUGAGUCUGUUUUUAUUUUUCAUUGAAUUGGUUUAUAAAACAGUUGUUCAAUUUGUAAGAACAAACUUACUUUUAUUUAGCAAAGACUCAUUAAAUAGAUCAAAAAUGACAGCAAAUACAUUGUAAAUUGUAAAUGCUAUUCUUUUAAACUUUCUAUACAUCAAAAAAAAAUUUUUUUGCAAAAAUAUUAAAGGGGUCAUAUGAUGCGAUUUAAAAUUUUCCUUUCUCUUUGGAGUGUUACAAGCUGUUCGUGCAUAGAUAAGAUCCCUAAAUUUGCAAAGACUAAAGUCUCAAACCCAAAGAGAUAUUCUUUAUAAAAGUUAAGACACAUCCACGCCCUCCUAAAAUGCCUCAUUUAAACACGCCCCCACAUCUACGUCACUGUGUGGGAAGAUUUGCAUAACACCACCCAAAUGUUCACGCAAAGAAAGAAGGCGUAACUUUUAUUCUUGCUGUGGAAUUUGUUGUUGCCGUCGCCAUGUCAUGGAGACGCUGUGUGUUUCAUUGUGAAAGUGAAACUACUUUGUUUUGCCUUCCAAAAGAGGACACAACUAGAAAUCAGUGGUUAAGUUGUAUUUACAACACUGAUCCAGAACAGUUCAACCCAAAUAUUCAGAUGCGUGUAACGCAUUUUACAGAGGACAAGGAUUGUUUCCUGGGAGAGAUGCCUACAAUGCCGAUGUUCUGACAAAUAAUGUUGACUCACAGCCUAUAAGUACCUUUUCAUAUUUAACACUAGAUCCACCACGGGGUAAAUUUUAAACAGAUUUAAAAUAAAACAUUCAAGUCUCCCAGUAAUUGACUUUUACUAAAAUGAUGUAAUUUACAAUUGUUAAAAAUUGUUGUUAAAAAUGAUUUGGAUUAAACCAGAUCAAAAAACGGGGCAUUUAUACCUACAGGUAUAAGCGCCAGUGGGUCAAAUUUAACCGCUAUAUAAUGCCUGUAUUUUCACAAUGUCAUUUUCUUGCCACUUAUGUUUUAACAUUGUACAUUUCUAGGCAACGCCUUUCACUCACUGAUUUAGUGGUUAUCAAUUUUAUAAAUUAAGUCAAAAUGACUAAAAAUGGUGAUUCAUUGAAGGUAGGUAUUAGAAACACUAAAUGCCAUGAGUGAUGGAGAGUCUGAUGCGUCCUGGGUCGGCUCAGCAUCUGACGGCUCAUCUGACAGUGAUCCAGGUAUCAAAUUUACAUGUUUUAGCCCAAAGUUACUCUAAUUGGUCAAACUUUGGUUUAAUUAUUUAAUUUUUGUCUCGCCAUAUCGUUUAUUGUUCACUAUUGUGUUGCUAUUCUAGUCUGGCCAUUUGCUGAAAAAAAAAAAAAAAAAAUUCUGAUCAAUAUGAUGUAAUGGAUAAAACUAUUUUUUUGAUUACCCAAAGUUUAAUGGUGGUGUUCUCUUAUUAAAAUUAUAAAUGGUAUAACUAAACAAAUUAAUAAAUAUUUAGGUGAAGCUGUGCGCUUGAAUUUGUCAUUGCAUCAUCCUAUGCAGUGUGGGGAAUUAUCAUUGCUUAUUAUUGUCUACAGGCUAUUUUACUAAUUUAAAUAGCAUGGGUUAUCUUAAUAUAUUGAUUUUUUUUUUUUUUUUAAGCUUAGUCUGCUGACCAUUAUGGUGUAGCCUGCAUUAAAAUGUCUUCAACAUAAAACAACAGGAUACAAAUAGAGUUGAUGACUAGACAUAAUCAUUUCAUGACUUCUUUGUGAAGACAGUGGCAUAAUACAGUGAAAUAAUAUGUUCUUUAGUCAUAUAAAUACAGUUGUAAUGUGUGUGGGUAAAAUUUACCCGCUGGGAGUUUUAGGUAUACAGUUACCUCAGGCGGUUCUAGUGUUAAAGAAUUUGCCACUGAUGAUUCAAACGCAAGUUUUGAGCAGUGUAGAGUAGUGCUUAUUGUUUGUCGUUUCUCCGAUCACAAAUGCAGACAUGGUUUUAUGUUUAUGUAGCACGAUGCAACGCAACGUGUAAAAAGACAGUAUAAGUCAUUAUAAUCAAUAAUUAUGUCCCCACUGGAUGCAACAAAUGCGUCGUUUGAAAUGGGUUGUAUUGGAUUUGUCUCGUCGCACCAGGACAGGGCAUCACAGUAUGUUCAGGGGCAUAACAUUUCCGUUACACGCUUCAGGAAUUUGGCCAAUCACAAUGCAGUGGAUAGCUGGCCAAUCAGAGCACACCUCGCUUUUCAGACCGAUGAGCUUCGUAAAAAUCGAUGCGUUUCAGAAAAGCAGGGCAUAGAGGAGCAAUCGUAAUAUACAGUAUGUGGGAAAUAAUGUGUUUUUUUUAAUGUUAAACUGCAUAAACACAUUUUAUUACACCAAAUACCCAAAAGAAUGUUCUUUUUUAGCAACAUCAUAUGACCCCUUUAAGCAGCGCAACAGUUUAACCCUCUGGAGUCGAUUCAUGUGCAUACGCGUGUUGAGGCAUUUUCUCCUGACAACCCCAAAAAGAACUUAAAUUACACUUUCAGUUUUCAUUGUACAGAUAAGAGCAAUACAUCAAUCAAAUCUGUAAAGGGUCUACUUGUAUUUGUAUACACACAUAAUAACAACAAAACUAUGUGCAUUUACAAAAUAAAGAAAACAAACAAGGUGCGCUGUCUGCAGCCUUGGUCUGCGGUGAUCUUCAUUUAGAAACGCGUCAUUAAACAUUGAUGAUGAGAAAUUCCAUAAAACGAAUGAAAUAAUUCAAUGAAUGAUUUCUGAAGUAUCAUAUAACAUCGAUCAUGCGAUUUGAAAACUGAUACUUUUGAAUGUUUUGCUGUCACAUAUACAGAGUUUUCUAAUUCAGUAGGUUAACUUGGAAGAUCACGCGAUAUGGCAUUGCACUUGAGUGAUGAAGAGUAAUAUUAAUCGUAAAACUAAAGUUCAAAAUAGCUCAAAUCCGCAUGAGGAAGUUAAAAUAGCACAGCUGCAUCAACAAAUUAAUUUUAUAUCAAUUUAGUAUUUGUUAACACUAUCGAGUAGGUUUAGGAUUUUGUUUGGUCUAGGGGAUAUUUCCAAAAUGAGAGCAUUAACCUUUAGUGACACUCCACAGAUUUUUUUAAUUCUGAACAGGCUCAAUAUGUACCUCAAGCAGCGUAAUAAAAAUGUUGCAAUAUGUGCCUGUACCAACGUAAUAAAACCUUGCCACGGUCAUGUAUUGUUUUAGCGCCACUCUCUGUACAUAUCACUUUGAAACUGCUGCGAAAUGUGCAGUAAGGUAUGUUAUUACAGUGUUGCUGAAAUGUAUAUAGAGGCACAUAUUUUCAUGAGCCUGGGUUGUUUUUAUCAGCUGUUUAACUCUACUUUUUUUUUCGGCACCCAUUCACUGCAAAGAAUGAACUUUAUGAAUUAAUUUUAGUAUUGUUCAUUUUAUUAAAAUUUUAAUGAAAUUUUUUUGAAUUGGUUAAUUGAAACAAGCAGUGAGAAAGAUUCACAGAAAUGAGUCAGACUUCCCUUCACUGCAAGGCUAGUCCUUCUGUUUGCCCAUGUUAGUUCCAUGCUUCAGAGCACUAUACACACACACACACACACACACCACCUCCCUCUCUCUCUGUCUGCUCUCCUCACCUCUAAUCCACACUGGACCUGGGGCUGUCAGAAUCCCCGCUAACUGUCACACCGCUGACCACUUCAUCUGCACCCCCACAGACACACAGGCCCGACUCCAUUUGACCAGACACUGACCUCAGCCAAGUUCAGCUGGGAACCUUCAUGGAGAGGAAUAGCAAAAGACAGAGAGAGAGGGAGAGAGAGAAAGACAUAAAACAGGCCUGUGACAAAUCAAAUAGCCUCUGAGCUCAAGGCCCUGUGCUUGCUUUGCUGCCUCAUAACCUUAUUUGUUCUGAAUAUCGCAGAAUAAUAAAUGAUUUCUGUCACACUUUUCAAACACCCGUGCAACUUGCAAGCCGUGUGUAUGUUGGAUAAUGUACACAGAGGGGCCUAUCUGAAAGGAGAAGGUGAAUAGCAGAGUAGAGAGAGAGAGAGAGAGAGAGAGAAAGGGUGAACAUAGGAUAUAUUCAUUUUAUUGUCAUAAAAAUGGUUCUAAUGAAAGGAAAUAUCAGGUUUGUAUAAACUAGGCCUUUGCAAAAAGGAAAGAGAAUGAAAGCACGUUAUGUCUUCAGAGAUUGGUGCAACACUGUCAGUGUUUUCAUCUUUGUUUAUACUACGUUAUUACAUCACUGGCAGACUUUAUAUGCACAGCUUCCAUUGGUUUUUCAUCAGUAGCAUGCAGACAAAAUCAUUAUGAAUGUGAUUCCA